GGUUCGAUUAUGGCUCAGAUUGAACGCUUAGCGGAUGCCGUACACAUGCAAGUCGAACGGCAGCACGGACUUCGGUCUGGUGGCGAGUGGCGAACGGGUGAGCAAUGUAUCGGAACGUGCCUAGUAGCGGGGAUAACUACGCGAAAGCGUAGCUAAUACCGCACAUUGUCCCUUUCGGGGUGAAAGCGGGGGGACCUUCGGGCCUCGUAAUUAGAGCGGCCGAUAUCGGAUUAGCUAGUUGGUGGGGCAACGGCUCACCAAGGCGACGAUCCGUAGCUGGUUUGAGAGGACGACCAGCCACACUGGGACUGAGACACGGCCCAGACUCCUACGGGAGGCAGCAGUGGGGAAUUUUGGACAAUGGGGGAAACCCUGAUCCAGCCAUCCCGCGUGUGCGAUGAAGGCCUUCGUUGUAAAGCACUUUUGGCAGGAAGAAACGGCACGGGAUAAUACCCCGUGCAACUGACGGUACCUGCAGAAUAAGCACCGGCUAACUACGUGCCAGCAGCCGCGGUAAUACGUAGGGUGCAAGCGUUAAUCGGAAUUACUGGGCGUAAAGUGCGUGCGGUUCGGAAAGAAAGAUGUGAAAUCCCAGAGCUUAACUUUGGAACUGCAUUUUUAACUACCGAGCUAGAGUGUGUCAGAGGGAGGUGGAAUUCGCGUGUAGCAGUGAAAUGCGUAGAUAUGCGGAGGAACACCGAUGGCGAAGGCAGCCUCCUGGGAUAACACUGACGCUCAUGCACGAAAGCGUGGGGAGCAAACAGGAUUAGAUACCCUGGUAGUCCACGCCCUAAACGAUGUCAACUAGCUGUUGGGGCCUUCGGGCCUGGUAGCGCAGCUAACGCAGGAAGUUGACCGCCCGGGGAGUAAUAAUGGUCGCAAGAUUAAAACUCAAAGGAAUUGACGGGGACUCGCACAAGCGGUGGAUGAUGUGAUUAAUUCGAUGCAACGCGAAAAACCUUACCUACCCUUGACAUGUCUGGAAUCCCGAAGAGAUUUGGGAGUGCUCGCAAGAGAACCGGAACACAGGUGCUGCAUGGCUGUCGUCAGCUCGUGUCGUGAGAUGUUGGGUUAAGUCCCGCAACGAUAGCAACCCUUGUCAUUAGUUGCUACGAAAGGGCACUCUAAUGAGACUGCCGGUGACAAACCGGAGGAAGGUGGGGAUGACGUCAAGUCCUCAUGGCCCUUAUGGGUAGGGCUUCACACGUCAUACAAUGGUCGGGACAGAGGGUCGCCAACCCGCGAGGGGAGCCAAUCCCAGAACCGAUCGUAGUCCGAUCGCAGUCUGCAACUCGACUGCGUGAAGUCGGAAUCGCUAGUAAUCGCGGAUCAGCAUGUCGCGUGAAUACGUUCCCGGGUCUUGUACACACCGCCCGCCCACUAUGGGAGGGCUUUACCAGAAGUAGUUAGCCUAACCGUAAGGAGGGCGAUUACCACGGUAGGAUUCAUGACUGGGGUGAAGUCGUAAAUAAGGUAA
rnacentral:rRNA from 1 species